AUUGAACGCUGGCGGCAGGCUUAACACAUGCAAGUCGAGCGGGGAAGGGUAGCUUGCUACCUAACCUAGCGGCGGACGGGUGAGUAAUGCUUAGGAAUCUGCCUAUUAGUGGGGGACAACAUUCCGAAAGGAAUGCUAAUACCGCAUACGCCCUACGGGUGAAAGCAGGGGAUCUUCGGACCUUGCGCUAAUAGAUGAGCCUAAGUCAGAUUAGCUAGUUGGUGGGGUAAAGGCCUACCAAGGCGACGAUCUGUAGCGGGUCUGAGAGGAUGAUCCGCCACACUGGGACUGAGACACGGCCCCGACUCCUACGGGAGGCAGCAGUGGGGAAUAUUGGACAAUGGGCGAAAGCCUGAUCCAGCCAUGCCGCGUGUGUGAAGAAGGCCUUUUGGUUGUAAAGCACUUUAAGCGAGGAGGAGGCUACCGAGAUUAAUACUCUUGGAUAGUGGACGUUACUCGCAGAAUAAGCACCGGCUAACUCUGUGCCAGCAGCCGCCGUAACAC
rnacentral:rRNA from 1 species